GAUCAUGGCUCAGGACGAACGCUGGCGGCGUGCCUAACACAUGCAAGUCGAGCGGGGAAUAUUGAGCAGCUUGCUGCUUGGUAUUUCUAGCGGCGGACGGGUGAGUAACGCGUGAGUAACCUGCCUUUAUCAGGGGGAUAACGCAUCGAAAGAUGUGCUAAUACCGCGUAAGACCACAGCUUCACAUGGAGCAGGGGUCAAAGGAGCAAUCCGGAUAAAGAUGGGCUCGCG
rnacentral:rRNA from 1 species